AAGGAGAAAGGAAGUAUCUGAACCUGAUCUAUGAAUAGAUCAAGAGAAAUGACCCAAAGUGACAGUGAAGGGCCUUGGAGGAAAAUAAUGGAAUACUGGAGACAUCUUCCAGAUAGAGGCAUGUAGAGGAAAGGACAGGGAACACACAGAGGAGCCGCUCCUCAAACCUGUGGAAGCAGCAGGUCUGAACCACGCAGGGAGGAGUGUCAUAGCUGUAAGAAUGGGCCUCAUCGACUUCUUGCCA